AUGUGUACUGAAUAACUUGAAAAAAAUCUGAAUAUAGAUUAUUUUUCCUUUCUACAAUUUGAUCUGUGUCAAGUGUGUUAUUGUGGGUCGGAAGGGUAAUUAGUAUCUACUACCGCAUUCCUCCUGUACAAACCUUGAGUAUAAAGAAAGAAGUUCACAUUGCGAGCUUAGUUGACCUCCCACCUAGGGUUAUCCAGGUAGGCAGGGUUACACUGUGAAAAGAAAAAAUAUUUUUUUUAACUGUUUUAUUUAAAUUUCUAAUAAUAAAAAGAAAAGAAAAGAGCGAAAAGAGCGUUGGUCCCAUCCCAUCAUCCCCAUACAGCCAAACUUUUUGCCGUGGAGAAGAGAGAUGUUGCAGUGUUUUGCACUCAUAAAACCGAAAAUGCCUCCAGGAUGUGUUUGUAAAAAGGAACUGAAUGAGAGAAGUCAAUGAAGGCUGGUGCAGACUGUGGAAAGUACAUCCCACAGGACAUCUAAGGCUUCAGGCUGACCUGGAGCAAUCUGGUGGUGGUUUCAGCUUGUGCAGGCCACUGCAAUCAGAACUUCGUGGGUGAAGAGAGAAAGAUGAGUUGAGGCUGUACUUGAGGAGGAAUGAACGGCAGGUAGAGAAGACGUAUGGGCUGAAAGAAAGAAACACUCGGAAUCCACCAGGUUUGUCUGGUAUUCAGCAGGAGAAGGAACCUCUGCGGCACACCACAUAAAACAUUCAUAGCGGUGUUGGGAUGCAGAGUUUUCUUCUGGAUUAUUUAUCAAAUAGUGAGAUGUUGCUUAUUACAAAGCCAAUAGUGCUCUGCUCAUGUGAGAGUCUCACACAUGCUGCUUCUUUCUUUUUAUUAAUGUAGGAAUAUCAAUUUGCCCUUUAAUAUAUUUCCCACAAAACAGUGCUACGCUCCCCUUCUGUCUA